rnacentral:rRNA from 1 species
UGGGGAAUAUUGCACAAUGGGCGCAAGCCUGAUGCAGCCAUGCCGCGUGUGUGAAGAAGGCCUUCGGGUUGUAAAGCACUUUCAGCGAGGAGGAAGGUGGUGAACUUAAUACGUUCAUCAAUUGACGUUACUCGCAGAAGAAGCACCGGCUAACUCCGUGCCAGCAGCCGCGGUAAUACGGAGGGUGCAAGCGUUAAUCGGAAUUACUGGGCGCAAAGCGCACGCAGGCGGUUUGUUAAGUCAGAUGUGAAAUCCCCGGGCUCAACCUGGGAACUGCAUUUGAAGCUGGCAAGCUAGAGUCUCGUAGAGGGGGGUAGAAUUCCAGGUGCAGCGGUGAAAUGCGUAGAGAUCUGGAGGAAUACCGGUGGCGAAGGCGGCCCCCUGGACGAAGACUGACGCUCAGGUGCGAAAGCGUGGGGCAGCAAACAGGAUUAGAUACCCUGGUAGUCCACGCUGUAAACGAUGUCGAUUUGGAGGUUGUGCCCUUGAGGCGUGGCUUCCGGAGCUAACGCGUUAAAUCGACCGCCUGGGGAGUACGGCCGCAAGGUUAAAACUCAAAGGAAUUGACGGGGUC